rnacentral:rRNA from 1 species
AGAGUUUGAUCCUGGCUCAGGACGAACGCUGGCGGCGUGCCUAACACAUGCAAGUCGAACGGUCCUUUUACUUAAAGCAAUUUAGGUAAAAGGAUAGUGGCGGACGGGUGAGUAACGCGUGGGUAACCUGCCCAACAGACCGGGACAACACUUGGAAACGAGUGCUAAUACCGGAUAGCCUUUGACCCUGGCAUCAGGGACGGAGGAAAGGUGGCCUCUAUAUAAAAGCUACCGUUGUUGGAUGGACCCGCGUCUGAUUAGCUGGUUGGUGGGGUAACGGCCUACCAAGGCGACGAUCAGUAGCCGGCCUGAGAGGGUGAACGGCCACACUGGGACCGAGACACGGCCCAGACUCCUACGGGAGGCAGCAGUGGGGAAUCUUCCGCAAUGGACGAAAGUCUGACGGAGCAACGCCGCGUGUAUGACGAAGGCCUUCGGGUUGUAAAAUACUGUCUUUGGGGACGAAUGUUAGCUAUGAAAAUAUUG